rnacentral:rRNA from 1 species
UCAAGAAUCUUCCCCAAUGGACGAAAGUCUGAGGGAGCGACGCCGCGUGCAGGAUGACGGCCUUCGGGUUGUAAACUGCUUUUAUCAGGGACGAACGAUGACGGUACCUGAAGAAUAAGAGGUUGCUAACUCUGUGCCAGCAGCAGCGGUAAUACAGAGACCUCAAGCGUUAUCCGGAUUUAUUGGGCGUAAAGGGUCCGCAGGCGGCUUUGCGCGUCGACGGUUAAAUCUAAAGGCUCAACCUUUAGACCGCCGUUGAUACGGCAAAGCUAGAGCAUGGGAGAGGUAAGCGGAAUUACUGGUGUAGCGGUAAAAUGCGUUAAUAUCAGUAGGAACACCAAAUGCGAAGGCAGCUUACUGGAACAUUGCUGACGCUCAGGGACGAAAGCGUGGGGAGCGAAAGGGAUUAGAUACCCCCGUAGUCC